rnacentral:rRNA from 1 species
GACGAACGCUGGCGGCGGGCUUAACACAUGCAAGUCGAACGGCAAGGCCCUGCUUUUGUGGGGUGCUCGAGGGGCGAACGGGUGAGUAACAGGUGAGUAACCUGCCCUUGACUUUGGGAUAACUUCAGGAAACUGGGGCUAAUACCGGAUAGGAGCUCCUGCUGCAUGGUGGGGGUUGGAAAGUUGCGGCGGGUGGGGCUGGACUCGCGGCUGAUCAGCUUGUUGGUGGGGUAGUGGCUUACCAAGGCUUGGACGGGUAGCCGGCCUGGGAGGGUGACCGGCCUCCUUACGCCUACGGUACGCCCCAGUGUCCAACGGUGGGCAGCAGUGGCGAGUCUUACCCAAUGGGCCCACGCCGGAUGCAGCAGCCUCCGGGGCGGGAUGACGGCCUUCGGGUUGUGAACCGCAUUCGCCUGUGACGAAGCGUGACUGACGGUAAUGGGUAAAGAAGCACCGGCUAACUACGUG